rnacentral:rRNA from 1 species
GUGGGGAAUAUUGGACAAUGGGCGAAAGCCUGAUCCAGCAAUGCCGCGUGAGUGAUGAAGGCCCUAGGGUUGUAAAGCUCUUUUACCCGGGAUGAUAAUGACAGUACCGGGAGAAUAAGCUCCGGCUAACUUCGUGCCAGCAGCCGCGGUAAUACGAGGGGAGCUAGCGUUGUUCGGAAUUACUGGGCGUAAAGCGCGCGUAGGCGGUUUUUUAAGUCAGAGGUGAAAGCCCGGGGCUCAACCCCGGAAUAGCCUUUGAAACUGGAAAACUAGAAUCUUGGAGAGGUCAGUGGAAUUCCGAGUGUAGAGGUGAAAUUCGUAGAUAUUCGGAAGAACACCAGUGGCGAAGGCGACUGACUGGACAAGUAUUGACGCUGAGGUGCGAAAGCGUGGGGAGCAAACAGG